rnacentral:rRNA from 1 species
UACGAAGGGGACUAGCGUUGUUCGGAAUUACUGGGCGUAAAGCGCACGUAGGCGGCUUUGUAAGUCAGGGGUGAAAUCCCGGGGCUCAACCUCGGAACUGCCUUUGAUACUGCAAUUCUCGAGUCCGAUAGAGGUGGGUGGAAUUCCUAGUGUAGAGGUGAAAUUCGUAGAUAUUAGGAAGAACACCGGUGGCGAAGGCGGCCCACUGGAUCGGUACUGACGCUGAGGUGCGAAAGCGUGGGGAGCAAACAGG